rnacentral:rRNA from 1 species
CAGCCGCCACGGGAAUACGCAGGUGGCAAGCGUUGUCCGGAAUUAUUGGGCGUAAAGGGCUCGCAGGCGGUUUCUUAAGUCUGAUGUGAAAGCCCCCGGCUCAACCGGGGAGGGUCAUUGGAAACUGGGAAACUUGAGUGCAGAAGAGGAGAGUGGAAUUCCACGUGUAGCGGUGAAAUGCGUAGAGAUGUGGAGGAACACCAGUGGCGAAGGCGACUCUCUGGUCUGUAACUGACGCUGAGGAGCGAAAGCGUGGGGAGCGAACAGGAUUAGAUACCCGCGUAGUCCCUGUCUCUUAUAC